rnacentral:rRNA from 1 species
GGAGGGUGCAAGCGUUAAUCGGAAUUACUGGGCGUAAAGCGCACGCAGGCGGUUUGUUAAGUCAGAUGUGAAAUCCCCGGGCUCAACCUGGGAACUGCAUCUGAUACUGGCAAGCUUGAGUCUCGUAGAGGGGGGUAGAAUUCCAGGUGUAGCGGUGAAAUGCGUAGAGAUCUGGAGGAAUACCGGUGGCGAAGGCGGCCCCCUGGACGAAGACUGACGCUCAGGUGCGAAAGCGUGGGGAGCAAACAGGGAUUAGAUACCCUGGUAGUCCACGCCGUAAACGAUGUCGACUUGGAGGUUGUGCCCCUUGAGGCGUGGCUUCCGGAGCUAACGCGUUAAGUCGACCGCCUGGGGAGUACGGCCGCAAGGUUA